AGUUCACGUAUUUAAGCUAGAUUUUCACUAAGAGAAACUAUACUUAUUUAAUUAAUAUGCAUAAAAGUUUAGUUGUACUCAACAUAGGCUUUUUAAAAAAAAAAAAAAAACUAAAACCCUUUCGUUAAGAGCUAUUAAAUUGUAGCCUAAUUAAAUAAGUUUACGGAAGAGUUUCUGGGAUCAUUUCACUACAACCAACUUAUUCCCUAUUUUAUUACUUCAAGGGCCAAGACAAAUAAAUAAAAGAGACCCAUAUAAAAAGGCUUUCCCUUUCCUCCUUCAUCACUAAAUCCCUAAAUCACUCCACAAAAUGGGACGGCUCCCUCUUCAUCUCACAUCCGCCGCCAUCACUUCCAGCACUGCAGUCCGCCGGCGACGGCGGCGGAGGCUUCUCCCUCUCUCUCUCCUCUCUUCUCUCCCUCUCGGCCUACUCCACACCGCCGCCGUCUCCGCAGCGAGAACGGCGAUGCAUCGCCACCACCAUGCGCAGCCACAACUACCGCCGUCAUCUCCAGAUCUCCCUCUCGUUCAGGUCAGCCGCCACCACGGAGGCUGCUGUCGCCUCGCGCAGCCCCAACCACCGUCGCCUUCCCCUCCGAAUGCAUUGCUGCCGCCGCUGUGCAUGCACAAGCGGCGGCCCCGGCAUCUCCUCCACGCCGUUACUACACCGCCGGCCAGCCUCCCCACACUCUGCUAUUACUGACACCCUUCUCCGACAACACCACAACCACCCUCUACUUUCCAAAUCAAUGGAUGAAAGUUGUGAUUUUGGUGGUUGAUUCGGGGAUAUGGAACUAUUUAUAUUGACGGCGGAGUGCCGAAGCUCUCUGCCGAAGGUCAGGCAGGUUCAUCUCCUAAGAUAAGUGCAUUUACUGUCUUAUGUCAGCUCUUCUAUUUCAUUAGCAUAGAGAAGUAUUGUUCUUAGCAUGCUACUUGUGGAUCUUGGUGAUAGCUCAUGUGAUAUUGAUGUUGCCUAGUGCAUCUACAUAAGUCAUAAUCUUGAGUAUGAAUGUAUGUAUGUGCAUGAGAGGGGGUGAAAAGGACUUUGGGCUUACCUUGGUCGGUGAAAGGUGCGUUGAGUUGUACGGCUUGACUAGGCUUGACUAUCUGAGCACUCUCUCUCUUUUAUUCCUUGUACCUCCUGAGAUUUGUUGCUAUGUGGAAAGUUGGAUAUUUGAUAGUGAUGGGUGGUUUGAAAAUGAAGUUGGGGUUUAUAUACUUGCUAAAUUUGAGCAAGUAGCAGGCCUCUUAAAUGAUCGCAUCUCAGUCAAGAUUUAUUCGUUUUAUCACCUAUCUCACAAUGGCAAUUAGUAUCUCUGCCAAUAUUUGGGUAUUGUCUAUGACAAUUAUACUCUUCAUUAAUUGUGUUGUCAGAAGUGUAUAUCCCCAUUUGCAAAUCCUACGGUCAAGGUAUUCCAUGUAUUUGGUGGAAUAACAUGAGUCAUUGAUCCUUUACCAUUGCAUUAAAUUACCCACUUGGUAUGAUCCUUCAAAGGAUUUCGAUUUGAUGUGGGAAUGAAUCCCAGCCCUUCAUCAAGUCAAGUAUUUUUUUUACUCCAUUCUGGAAUCCGGAUUUGGGUUUGAUCUUCUAUCAAAUCUAUUAAAGAUUUUUAUUACUAUUUUACUUAUCUUACCCCUUCCAGUUUCUAUUGUAGGAACAACUCUUGACAAGAGUCAGUGAUGGUCUCUCGUCAACCUACCAAAUUUCCUUGCCAAAAUAUACCUCAAUUAUGGAACGGUUGUCGAGGGUAGCAUGUCUCAAAUCUAAUGUAAUAGAAUAGGAUUUUGGUAUUAGGCUUUUAUCGAGCUUCUCGCGUAUGUACUGGACAAACUUUCAUUUGGAUUUAGUAUAUUUGCAUAUAUUAUUCUCA